AUGAGGUCUUGCUCUGUUGCCCAGACUGGAGUGCAGCAGCAUGAUUAUGAUUUACUGCAGCCUUGAAAUCCCAGGCUCACGGGAUCCUCCCAUCUCAGCCUCUCGGUAACUGGAACUACAGAGCAAUUUAAUUUGGUCUAUGAGUCUCUCUGUUCCAUGACGUCCAGGUAGUGAAACUGGAGGCUGCCUUUGUCUCAAGACUAGAAGCUCUGUAAGAGCAAGGAUGUUGGGUAUUUUUGCUCACGUUUCCCAGUGCUUUAACAGAAUGCCUGGCAUGAGUAAGUCCUCCAUAAACAUCUGUGGAAUAAAUCAGUAGUAGAGAUUAAGAAAUGGCCUCAAAGAAGGACACAGACAAACAUGGUCCUGGUUCUAGAGGAAGCUAAAUGUGUUCACUUUUCCUGUGAGCUUUACACAGGAGUUUCUGCAACAUAAAAGAGAUCACAAGGCCAGUACCGAUGAAGCCCUUGAUCCUGUGCUUGUUACCUGGGAAAGACUGACAGUAAUACCUUAAAAAUCAUUGUCUCUGUGACUUAGGAGAAACAGGACAAAUUAUCCUAGCAUGAAAUAUAGCCCAAGAAUAUUGUGGGAAUAACGCAGAUUGAUUUUUUUUCUCUUUUCUGAAUUCACAUCUGUAUCCCUCUUUCAGAUAUUUAUUGACUGCUCAGUUCAGUCCCUUUUCAUAUAGAGAAUGAGGGUAUAUUUCAUUUGUUCAAAACUACAAAAAUAAUCAUACCUCUUAUCUUUCAAAUAAAAAUCAACUUUGCUCUCAACAUGUUUGAUGUCUGGAACAUAUCAAUUAAUAUCUUCACUUCAGAGAUUCAUUACAUAAAAUGUUGGAAUCUAUGCUAUAGCAUUACCAUAAAGAGUUGGAUUAAAUAGGAAAAUGAACAGAUACACCAAAAGGAAAGUGGGCAAGACAUAAACGUCAGAGGUGUUUGAACUGGAGCAACUGCAUCUUCAACAGGAGCCGGGUAAAAUAAGGCUGAGACCUUCUGGGCUGCAUUCCCAGACUUAGAAUUCCUAAAACAUUCUAAGUCACAGGGUGAGAGAGG
rnacentral:lncRNA from 10 species